rnacentral:lncRNA from 1 species
ACUCGGGUACGACGGGAUUCGGCGUGCUGGCUGCACCGGAGCGGACAGGUAAAAGCGGUUUCUGGAUCCAGGGGCGCUGCGAAGGGAAUGCGAUGAGGCCGCUACCCUGGGAGACCAGACCUACAAUAAAAGGCGAGGGAGGCACGCCAAGCCAGGACUGGAGCGCGGGACGGAAUGAGACCCUUAGCAGAAGAUCCUGGGCCACCGGGACAGGGGCUUGGAGCUGACCGGGUAGCAGGGGCGGAGGGAAGCGUUAGGGGAAGGUUUGUAUCUAUAAACGCCUCAAAGUCUUGCUUUUGGGGAGGGGGUGCGAGGAGAAAAAUUGAAUUUUAUGUUCUCUGAAAGAGUAAAAACCCGGCAUGGAUUUUCAACACCUAACAACUCCAUUGCAGCUGGUGGACUCUAAGAAGUAGGGCAAGAAGCAGGCUUGGGUUCCCAGGCAUCAGACCAAGUAAGGCGAGGGGCAGGUUUCGGGUUGAGGCUGCAGAGGGAGCCCCCGCACCCCCUCUCUGGGGUGGGGAAGGCUGUUGGACCCGGCUUGGCUGUCUGGAGAGCGAAAGUUGUGACUGCCAAGACCUAUAGCUGGGGCUAUAAAACUGGGCCCCAAGCCAAAAAUAGGCACUUCGGCAGAACAGGCAACUUUGUGCAGGGUGGGGGCUGGAGGGAAAUGGAAGUCGGGGGAAGAAUCCUGGCGUAGAGGGAACAGGGGGAGGGGGGAGUCCCUGAAGCGGGGCUGCUGGCUCCAUUUUAUGAAAGAUGGGAAGACUGAUGGCUGGGGAGGGCUUGGAAUCCUCAGGGAAGGGAAUCCAUUCAAGUGAGGCCCAAAUGUUAAAGCAGACAGCUCAAAGUUCAAAGUUGGGCUGCAUCUUAGCAGCAGGGCAGACAAACCCUGAUCUGAGUUUUAGAGGAGGGGGACGGGCUGAGGAUGGGGAUGGGGGAAACCCCCAUUCCCUACAUGUCCAGGGAAGAGAGUGCAUUGCUAACCAGGCGCUUUGCAGAAUGAAUGAGGAAAGGGAAAAGGGUUCCUGAGUAGGAGUGGUAAAUCCACAAAACUUGAGGCAUAUCUGGAUGGGAAAAAUGAGUAUCUAAGAAAGCCUGAAUUGAUAGGCUGCACGGGAAUUAACUUGGCCUCUAAGAAUCCCUUCCUAGAAGCACGUCGCUGUGGCUAAACUGGAGGAAGGGCAGGGACACCAGACUUCCAGGCUGCCCAGGUGACCACGCACCACAGCUGUGGCAGCCUGUCACCCUCCACCGCCUUCUAUGGACAGCUGUCUUUUCAUGACUGGGAAGGGAUUCUUGAAAGCCAGAACCUAGGCAAAUCUGGCCCCAGAGAACUUCAAAAUGGAGGGAUGGGUCACUUUCGUUCCUCCUUCAUGCCCAGGAUUUCAUGGCUGCAGAGCUGUCCAGCCUUGAAUCUGGGUGGCCAGGCUGGACACCUGGAUCUGGGGGACCAAAGGGGUAUAAAGUAGGAGUUGGUGAGUGCAAAACAGAUCCCAUCCAUCUGUGGUUGACUGCAGACCCACUGGGUAUGGAGGAGGGCAUCCCAUCUCUCUACGCCUCAAUUUCCCAGUUUGAGAUACUGACAGUAGCAAGUAAGACCCAUGAAGGCUUUGAGAUGGAGGGCACUCCAGGCAGCCAGCUUUCUAUAAACCUAGCAGUACCGAAAAGGGAACAGAACUUGACGCUCAGGAAAAGCUUGUCACCUCCUUGUUCUCUUGCUCCAGGCCUUUGUCCCCACCCCACCCUCCAGCCCUGAGCAGCCCACCCACUUCCCCCUACAGAGCUAGCCUAGGAGGUGGUUCUAACUUGCACUCUCCAGAGGCUACGAGAAGGAGUGGCCUUUACUUAUAUGAGGGAAAGCAACGACAUUCUUUAAGGCACCCUCAGCUCAGUUUGGAAAACCCCAGCCAGAACCCCCUCACCCUCGCCCCUCACCCCUUUCUAGACCCUCUAAACCCCACUGGUCCCAGCUGGGAUCGGCUCUCCAGCCUCCAUCUGAUCCAUGUCUCCUGGACUUGUGAGCGGCGUGCUCAGGAGACAAAGGGUGCGGAGAGGCUGGGGGCCGCGUAAAGAGCCCUGGCGCACCUCAGACCUUCGGCUUCGCAGCCGCAGUGGAGGCCGCGCCAGCAACUGGGCUCCGGGAACCAAGGCGUCCGCGCGCGCACGCAGACUCGCCCGCGCGCCGCGUGCCCCGCGCUGCCCAGAUCGGUACCCGCGCUUCGGACACCCUGCUCCCAGGGCGCUCCUCGCUUCCAGCCUCCCACCUUGCGCCUUGGGAUUCCCAUGAGCCCCGCGCCUGAGACACCCCACGCUCUGUGUAUUCCGUCCCACGGGACCUCCACGCCCACGGUGCCACGCGCCUCGAGUACCCCAUGUUCUAUGAACCCUGCACCUGGACGCCCCAUCUUCUGUGCACCCUGUGCUAUAGAACCCGCACGCCCAGGGUGCCCUAUGCCUAGGGCACCCUGUGUUCUCCUGCGUAUCUGGGACCCCACAUUUUGUACGCCUAGCACCUCCAGCAUCCCAGCGUCAGACACAGCUGGGCUCGCCUAUGCCUUGUCUGUCCCCUCUCUGUGCCUUCCAUGUAUUGCGCCCACUGCCUCGGUUGGGCCCCCAACCUCACAGUCCUGAAGGCUCUGCUUCGCCCCAGUGCUCAGCUUCCCUUUGCCUCAGGCCCAGCGCCCUCGUUCCCGGGUGCCCUGCCUCAGGCUCCUGGACAGGUCAGCGCAACGCCAGACAGCCACUGCCCACCAGGCGCCCCCAGCCCGUGUUUUCCUAGAGCCCACUCGGUAUAGGAUGCACAACCCUGCUGUUCAUUUCACUGCUCCGUGCACGUAUUCAUUCCUUCCAUUUACGCCUCAAACACACAGCACGCACCUUAUAUGCCCUUACCUGUCAGGUGCAGUGUGAUGCAUUGAGGAUGUGCCUCCAGUGCACAGGGAACAAGGCAGGGAGCCUUCUCUGGGCGCUUCCUUCGUCAUGGAGAAGAUGGACACAGAAUGUGUGAUGGAAUGAGCCCUGGAAAGUCAGCAGGUGCCAGGGAGUGGAGGAUGGACCUAUCCAAGCCUUGAGGUGUGGGUGAAGUUUUGUGUGUCCCUGGCCUUUCCAGAGGCUCCCUGUACCCCCAUCUUAGGCAACUUCUUUUAUUUAUUUAUUUAUAUUUUUAUUUAUUUAUUUAUUUUGAGGAGUCUCGCUCUGUUGCCCAGGCUGGAGUGCAGUGGCACGAUCUCUGCUCACUGCAACCUCCCUCUCCCGGGUUCAAGUGAUUUCCGGCUAAGUUUCAUAUUUUUAGUAGGGACAGGGUUUCACCAUGUUGGCUAGGCUGGUCUCGAACUCCUGACCUCAAGUGAUCCGCCCACCUCGGCCUCCCAAAAUGUUAGGACUACAGGCGUGAGCUACCGCGCCACACUAUUUAUUUAUUUUUGGAGACAGGGUCUCUUUCUGUCGCCCAGGUUGGAGUGCAGUGAUGAAAUCAUAGCUCACUGCAGCUCACUGCACGAGCCACCACACCCAGCUAAUUUUUGUAUUUUUUUUUUUCAUAGCUUGCUAUGUUGCCCAGACUGGUCUCAAACUCCCGGACUCAAAUGAUCCUCCUUCCUAAGUCUCCCAAAGGGCUGGGAUUACAGGUGUGAGCCGUGGUGGCAGGCCAACCUUGGGCGAUUUCUGAGCUCCAUUCAGUUCCACCCCCACUGCCAAGCCAAGUGGAGGGCAAGAUGAAGAGGUCCCAGAAUUGGGCUAGGAGGAUAGGUUGGGGGCAGGGAGUAAUUCCAACUGUGUUCUUUUAUUUUAUUUUAUUUUAUUUUAUUUUUAUUUUUUUUUUUUGAGAUGGAGUCUCACUCUGUGUCAUCCAGGCUGGAGUGCAGUAGCAUGAUCUCGACUCAGUGCAACCUCUGCCUCCCAGAUUCAAUUGAUUCUCCUACUUCAGCCUCCCAAGUAGCUGGGAUUACAGGAAUGCGCCUCCAUGCCAGGCUAAUUUUUGAUUUUUUUUUUUUUUUUCAGUAGAAACAGGGUUUCACCAUGUUGGCCAGGCCGGUCUUGAACUCCUGACCUCAAAUGAUCUGCCCGCCUCAGCCUCCCAAAGUGCUGGGAUUACAGAAAUGAGCCACUGCACCCAGCCAGGUUUUUUUGUUGUUUGUUUUUUGUUUUGUUUUGUUUGAGACGCAGUUUCACUCUUGUUGCCCAGGCUGGAGUGCAAUGGUGUGAUCUCAGCUUACCACAACCUCCACCUCCCGGGUUCAAGCCAUUAUCCUGCCUCAGCCUCCGGAGUAGCUGGGAUUACAGGCACACACCACCACGCCCAGCUAAUUUUGUAUUUUUAGUAGAGACGGGGUUUCUCCGUGUUGGUCAGGCUGGUCUUGAACUCCCAUCCUCAGAUGAUCUGCCCACCUCAGUCUCCCAAAGUGCUGGGAUUACAGGCGUGAGCCACCGCGCCCGUCCUCAGGGGGUAUAUUUUGAAGGUGGAGCAGAUGGAUUGGAAGUGGGAUACGAGGGAAAGAGGUAAGUCAAAAUUUGUGAGCUGAGUGAGCCCCUGGAAGGAUGGAGAGGAUGGAGAGGGGGCAGUUUUGUAGGUUAGAUCCAAGCCUUUGGUUUGAUAUGUCCAAGUGGAGGCAUGAAGUUGGUGCCCGGGGAGAGGUUCAGGCUGGCCGAGAAAUGGCUCAAAUGAGCACGAAUGCUCUCAUUUAUACUUUAUGGUAACUCUGUGGGUGGGGGACUUUCUCCCCAUCUUACAGAAGGGGCAACGAAGGCUCCAGAACAUGCCCAAGUAGUUAAAAAAUGUAGUUAUAGGCCGGGUGCAGUGGCUCACGUCUGUAAUCCCAUUACUUUGGGAGGCCGAGGUGGGCAGAUCACCAGAGGUUGGGAGUUCGAGACCAGCCUGACAAACAUGGAGAAACCCUGUCUGUACUAAAAAUACAAAAUUAGCCAGGCAUGGUGGCGCGUGCCUGUAAUCCCAGCUACUUGGGAGGCUGAGGCAGGAGAAUCACUUGAAUCCGGGAGCUGGAGGUUGUGGUGAGCCAAGAUCGCACCACUGCAAUCCAGCCUGGAGACAGAGCAAGACUCCGUCUAAAAAAAAAAAAGUUAGGUUCCGAGCCGGGUCCCGGAUUUGGGCUGGGAGGAUAGGGUGGGGAAGGGGAAUAAUUCCAACUGUGGUCUUUUUCUUUUCUCACUCUGUUGUCCAGGCUGGAGUGUAAUGGCUCAAUCUCAGCUCACUGCAACCUGUUUCCUAUGUUCAAGCAAGUCUCCUGCCUCAGCCUCCUGAGUAGCUGGGACAACAGGCGUAUGCCACCAUGCCUGGCUAAUUUUGUAUUUUUGUAGAGACAGAGUUCCACAAUGUUGCCCAGGCUGUUCUCAAACUCCCAGGCUCAAGCGAUCCUCCCGCCUCGGUCUCCCAAAAUGCUGGCAUUACAGGUGUGAGCCACUGCGCCUAGCUAGGCAGGACUAUUUGAAAGGCACCAGGGCUAGGCUAGCAUGGUGGGAGGCCAGGAGAGGGUCUAGAUUAUAUUCCCAGUGAUACUAGGAACCCCAAGAGGGCUUUCAGAAGUGGGUGGCAUGAUCUUAUUUGGAUGUUUAAAAGAUUAUAGGGCUGGGCUUGGUGGUGUGAUCCUGUAUCCUAGCUGAGGCAGGAGGAUUCACGCACACAGGCUUGAUCCUAGGACUUCCGGGAGGUGGUGUGUGCCAUGACCAUCAACGUCAAUGUGGUGACCCCCCAAGAGCAGGGGACCACCAGGUUGCCUAAGGAAGAGUCAACUGGCCCAGGUUGGAAACACAGCAGGUUAAAACUCCUGUGUUGAUCAGUAGUGGAAUCACGUCUGUGAAUAGCCACUGCACUCCAGCCUGGGCAACAGGGUGAGAAAAGAAAAAGACCACAGUUGGAAUUAUUCCCCGCCCCCAACCUAUCCUCUCUAAAACCCCCCAACCCUGUCUCUAAAACAAAAUGUUAAAAUAAGAAUAAAUAAAAUAGGCCAGGCACGGUGGCUCACACCUGUAAUCCCAGCACUUUGGGAGGCCGAGGCGGGUGGAUCACGAGGUCAGGAGAUCGAAACCAUCCUGGCUAACACAGUGAAACCCCGUCUCUACUAAAAAUACAAAAAAUUAGCCGGGCGUGGUGGUGGGCACCUGUAGUCCCAGCUACUCGGGAGGCUGAGGCAGGAGAAUAGUGUGAACCGAGGAGGCGGAG